rnacentral:rRNA from 1 species
AAAGGGUUCGUAGUUGAAUUGUGGAGUAUGGCCACGGGAUUCAGUCCUUUUCCCACGGUCUAGGAACGUCCCGACCAUACUCCGAGAACGUCAGAAACUAAGAUCACGGAAGCGUUUUUUACAAACUGCCACCGACUACGCGAGCAAUGUUCGCUGGUGGACGUCCGUGUUUUUUACUGUGACUAAAGAAGUGCGACCAAGGCAGUCCAUCGACAUGAAUUAGAAAGCACGGGAUAACAAAGCAGCAGCCUAUGAGCUACCGUUUAGGCUUUUGUUGGUUUUAAAGGUUCGUGGGAGAUUACGGGCGUGUAGGACCGGCGUUGGGGGUUUUCCAAAAUCCCCGCGUCUCCUCCUGGCAUCGGAAACGGUGCUUGCGGGGCCUGCUUCGCUCAGGAAUGAAGGAGGGUUGCUCGGGGGAAAACGUACUUGGGCGUGAGAGGUGAAAUUCUUAGACCGCCCAAAGACGAACUACAGCGAAGGCAUUU